rnacentral:tRNA from 1 species
UCCGUAGCUCAGUUGGUUAGAGCGCAUCGCUUAUAACGGUGUGGUCGUAGGUUCGAGUCCUACCGGA